rnacentral:rRNA from 1 species
ACUCCUACGGGAGGCAGCAGUGGGGAAUAUUGCACAAUGGGGGAAACCCUGAUGCAGCCAUGCCGCGUGUAUGAAGAAGGCCUUCGGGUUGUAAAGUACUUUCAGCAGUGAGGAAGGUGGGUAUGUUAAUAGCAUAUUCAUUUGACGUUAGCUGCAGAAGAAGCACCGGCUAACUCCGUGCCAGCAGCCGCGGUAAUACGGAGGGUGCGAGCGUUAAUCGGAAUUACUGGGCGUAAAGCGCGUGUAGGUGGCUUGUUAAGCCAGAUGUGAAAGCCCGGGCUCAACCUGGACUGCAUUUGGAACUGGCAGGCUAGAGUUUUGUAGAGGGUGGUAGAAUUUCAGGUGUAGCGGUGAAAUGCGUAGAGAUCUGAAGG